CCACAAGACUGAAAUCUCGGGCCAAGAAGUGCUCGCUUUUAUAGCCAACAUUCGGAACGCUGGCCAACGACAUCGGCGGGGCAUGGGUGCGUUCGGGUGCGCUGGGUGGGAAAACAGAAUGGACUGCCGGAGGGCGGAAUUUACGCCGUACUCGGAACGUGCACUCAUGGUUGGGUAUUCGGAGUGCCAUCCAAGAAGCCAUUGAACUUUCUAGAAAGCCGUUCCUCGAAAAAACUCAUUUCUCAGCUGCAAUCUGCGGAAUCGAUAUACAUUUAUCACAACUCUCGCCUGGAGAAUUGCCAUUGGGCUUUCACUUUGGAGAAUUGGCCGGGCCACGAGGCCACCCACAUCCAUUCACCCGAUUACCAACUCAACUCACCCGCAAUAUCCUGAAGGGGCUGUCACGCAACAAGCAGACCUGCUCCGCCGCCGGUUCGGCUGGCAAGAUGGCCUCCAGUGGGGUGUCUGCAUCAUCGCCAUCGAUUUCGCCCCGCUUGACACCCGAACUUCGUUCGAUUAUCAUCGAGAAUAUCCAAUACUGCAUGAAAUUAUAGAAGAACAAUUAUAAAAGUGUAUUGAUAGUGGA